rnacentral:lncRNA from 1 species
AGAUGACGACACCCUGGACUCCUGGAGUGGGCAAUUUCGGAGAACUGAAUGACGAUACCCUCAUCAGAUCUAGUUAUUAACUUAUUGUGCAGGGAACAACGACUUCAGGCCGAUGAUUUUUUUUAUCUUCCUGUUUUUGAUGGAAUCCUUUUGUUUGGUUUCAGUUGUAUCGUUGCAGUUGGUUGCAUGGAAUGAAUUUUUUUGCAAGUUAUCUUCAAACCAUCAGAUGCUAUUUUGUUAAUGAUCUGUCUGAUUGCCUACUUGUUCCAUCUUAUAUUUGAUUUAAGUUGAAUAGGUUGUUUGCUUGUCGACAUUUUUGCUUGUAUGUUUACAAGAGCAGCAUAUGGAACCACUCAGGGGAAUGACAUUAUAAAGCUGAAUUUUGAUCCGUAUAUCUACUGUUUCUUUGUGGUUCUUUAAAGGUAAGUGCACUAUUAUCCAUUGCUGGGUUGCUUCAGUGACUUUAUGAUGAACCAUGGAACCA